GAGAUACUCAACAGGGGCGGCCCUCUUCCUCGUCCGAACAAGAUCCCCAAGAGCCUGUACCCACUUGAGAAGAGCUCGAUGAGCUGCACGGCCUCACACAUGAGGAGCAGGAGGCCCAGGGAGGAGGAGUCGUUUGUUUACAGUAGGAAGAUUGGCUUAUGACCUGGUGCAUACCUGCAUGGAUGGAACUGGAACCAAACUUGGUAGUUGAAAUAAUUCUCUGUCUUAAUUCAAGGAGGACCCUAUAUCUAAAGGUAACAGAGCAGUUUAUAUCAUAAUUCCAUUGCUGGAUUUCUAGAAGAAUGAAAAAGGGAGAAAUGGUUGUUUCAUUUGGUGUGCGGAUCUGGUUUAAAGUGUGCGUGCUUAUAUCUAGAAGAUCUUGGUUGCAAA